GAAUUAAUAAUCUAUUUAACAAUCCCAAUUUAAUUUUUGCAUUCGAUGAUAUAAUUGCUCUUGUUUAUAUCUAAAGUUUAAACUUGGCGCAGAUCAAGACAUUCCUCGAGAUGGACUCCAACCUAGUGAACCAGACAUUCAGAGAGACUCAAGAACGUGAAACUCUUCAAAAGAUGAGAUGAGACUACGUCAACGCAUGAGUCUUCAAACCAAUUAUAGUUUGGAAGGGUUUUUGGAUCACCGGCAUCGGAUGGCAUAAGUAGUUCGUCUAUUACAACGGCAAGUAGUACUGAUUGCAGUAAAAACAAGUCUUCACAGUAAGUGAAUGCAAUUCUUCUCCGCUUUUUGUAAAUGAAGAUCCAAAGAAAGAUUUUCAUAUAAACAAGUAUGAGGAAUAUGGAGUGAAUUGCUGGGUCGCAAUUCAGGCCGAAGCAGCAUCAGUAAUGGUUGUUGUGGUAGUGGUAGCUCUGAAGAAGCUCAAAUCGAAUAAUUCUACGAAUCCGAAAAUCAUCCGAAAGAAUCAUCAUCAAAAGUAAUGAAUAACAUCGACGUGGUCUGGUCUGGAUAAAAAUCCAUCGAUAAACAGUAGAAACAGUAGUGGCUUACAGCUUUUCCCAGUUAAUGGUGCCAACACAGAAAACAACACUUCAUCGUCAUUAUAUUACAGUGUAACCUAUGAAUCUUUACCUGCUUAAAAUUCUUCACAGCAAAAUAUACCUACCUGCUCAGCAAUAGCAGUUUAUUAGGUGCUCUUUGCUCUUUUCAUUGCAACAACCGCAUCCUACACAUCAACAGAAACUACCACCACAGCAGCAACAUCCACCGCAGCAACUGCACCACCAGCCCUCUCCUCAGAUGAUUCCUCCACAGCAACUUUUCAAACCACCUCCACAGAAUCAGCAGCCUCCUCUCUGCCAGGGAAUGCAUCCACCAAACUUCAAUCCGUCGCCAUUUGGUAUACCGCGCCCGGUCUAUGGUCACGGUGGAUAUCAACCUCAAUGGGGAAUACCAUGGAAUAAGCAACAACAUCAUGCCAUUCCGCCACAAGAAAAACUCGCUUUGAUCAAGUUUGAAUGGAAGCAGCAUUGCUACGUGAACUUCCCUUGCAAUCAGAGGAAUCGGAUAGAAGUGAUCUUAUGGAUGCGAAGAGGACGCUAUUUCUUAGUUUCAGAUAUUUCACUGUGUUCAUGAAUUUGUUAAAUGACUGCAUUAAUAUUUCGGAAGCUGAAAAAGAUCUACAAAACUCUCAAGUACUCCUUUCGACCACGAAUGACUGCGUGUAAAAUGUAGGCUCUCCGCAAUGCCACUAUCCAAGCUGGAAGCCAUUCUUGAUUCUGGUUUAAUGCACUCCAUCGAUUUGGGUUAUAAUCCUGAAUUGCAAACUCGAGCGGCUUUUGUAGAAGUUCUCACACAAAUCCUACAAUAAGGAACUGAAUUUGAUACAGUGGCUGAAACAAUAUUGGCUGAUGGGCUCAAGCAACUUGUUCAAAUAAAGAAAAUAAUAAAUGAUAAGGAAUUGUUGCCUCUGCUUAUGUUGCUUAUGCAAAUGGCUCUUCCUAAUUUAGUUACAACAUCUCAAAUGGAUCCAUGAAUAAAAUAGCCCGUUUGCUUGUCACGCUUUUCGAUGCUAAGCAUCUUUCAGCACCUCUAUUAUGGAACAUGUUUGAUAGAGAGUAGAAGUAUCCGAUUCUAUGCAGACCUUGUUUCGGGGCUAAGAAUAAGAAGUACUUCUUAUUCUUAGUUUCGGGGUAAUUCGUUGGGUAGUAAAAUUAUGCCGUUGUGUUAAGAUUACGGUGCAAAUUAUUUGCAGACUUUUAGAGCCUCUUAUUUCACCGUUGUUGAAUGAUUAAAACACUAGCUUCGAAGUUAAUACGACAAGAUUGGAACAGGCCGAUUAUUAAGACAAAAAUUGAUCAACUUUUAGUAGCUUUGACUCAGAAAUUGAUGCAAAAUUGCAUCGGAACUAUUGGUACUGUGAUAUUUUUGCACCAGGUGGUGUAUAUUAAUAUACUUGUAAGACAAAUGGAGCUUGAACGCUUGUCUUCUCUUAAAUUCCAGUUCGCCUGCCUUUUUUUUAAGUAGAUGGCGCAAACCCACGUAUCUGAGAAAAACACUUCAAAUUUAUGAUUUUGGUUGAAUUCAUAUGUUAUUUUUAUUGCAAGAUGCGUUUUAAUAAAAUAAUUUUUCUAAAAAAUUAUAAAUCCCUAAUUUCUAGAAUUUAGGAACAAUCUUUUAAAUUAAUACAAAUACAAAUUUUCAACAGAGUCUGCGAUUGGUGAUCUUUUGGUGGAUUUAAGAUAGGUGAAAACAAAACUGAGACACACAGUGUUUGAGGAACUUGGGGUAUUACUUAUCUGGUUGCAUUGGCUGCAUAAGUGCAUACGCUAAUGCUUUGCUAUUGCUGAUGUUGCUACUGUUGCCGUGGGUGAUGAUUGUGAGUUGGCCGUUGUUGUGUGGAAUGACUGCGGGGCUUCAUAUUUUUUGGCCUGAAUCAUUGACAAUUGGCCUUAUUUGUAUCUUGUGGUCAACUGGAGGCUGAUUUUGGCCUGUUGAUUUAUUGUGUCAACCUAAGAAAAAUUAAGC